GAUGAAGAACGCAGCGAAAUGCGAUACGUAAUGUGAAUUGCAGAAUUCAGUGAAUCAUCGAAUCUUUGAACGCAUAUUGCGCUCUUUGGUAUUCCGAAGAGCAUGCUUGUUUGAGUAUCAGUAAACACCUCAACCUCUUCUUGAUUUUUCAAAAGGAGGGUGGACUUGAGCUAUCCCAACAACCUUUACCGGUCGGCGGGCGGCUUGAAAUGCAGGUGCAGCUGGACUUUUAUCUGAUCUAAAAGCAUAUCUAUUUAGUCCUCGUCAAACAGGAUUAUUACUUUUGCUGCAGCUAACAUAAAGGAUAAUUGUCCUCUUUGCUGACUGAUGCAGGAUUUUACGACACUUUAUGUGUUGUUCAACUCGAUCUCAAAUCAAGUAAGACUACCCGCUGAACUUAAGCAUAUCAAUAAGCGGAGGA
rnacentral:misc_RNA from 1 species